rnacentral:tRNA from 1 species
UGGGAAGUGGCUCAGUGGGUAGAGUGCUUGCCUACCAUGCAUGAAGCUCUAGGUUCUAUCCCCAGCAUUUCAU